GGCGGCUCGAGUGGUGGCCACUAUUACUGGGCUUAAAGCGUCCGUAGCUGGAUUGUUAAGUCUCUUGGGAAAUCUACCGGCUUAACCGAUAGGCGUUCAAGGGAUACUGGCAAUCUAGGGACCGGAAGAGGUGAGAGGUACUCCAGGGGUAGGAGUGAAAUCCUGUAAUCCUUGGGGGACCACCUGUGGCGAAGGCGUCUCACCAGAACGGCUCCGACAGUGAGGGACGAAAGCUGGGGGAGCAAACCG
rnacentral:rRNA from 1 species